rnacentral:rRNA from 1 species
GAUGAACGCUAGCUACAGGCUUAACACAUGCAAGUCGAGGGGCAGCAUUAUCGAAGCUUGCUUUGAUAGAUGGCGACCGGCGCACGGGUGAGUAACGCGUAUCCAACCUUCCCAUCACUCAGGGAUAGCCCGCCGAAAGGCGAAUUAAUACCUGAUGGUCUCCUUUGCAGACAUCUAACGAGGAGUAAAGAUUCAUUGGUGAUGGAUGGGGAUGCGUCUGAUUAGGUAGUAGGCGGGGUAACGGCCUACCAAGUCGACGAUCAGUAGCCGGACUGAGAGGUUGAACGGCCACAUUGGGACUGAGAUACGGCCCAGACUCC